AUUGAACGCUAGCGGGAUGCCUUACACAUGCAAGUCGAACGGAGUGGCGAACGGGUGAGUAAUGUCUCGGAACGUGCCCAGUAGCGGGGGAUAACUACGCGAAAGCGUAGCUAAUACCGCAUACUAUUGGAGCGGCCGAUAUCGGAUUAGCUAGGUGGGGGUGUAACGGGUAGCCAAGGCUACGAGCCGGAGCUGGUUUGAGAGGACGACCAGCCAAAGUUGGACUGAUACACGGACCAGACUCCUACGUGAGGCAGCCGGGGGGAAUUUUGGACAAUGGGGGAAACCCUUAUCCAGCCAUCCCGCGUGUGCGAUGAAGGCCUUCGGGUUGUAAAGCACUUUUGGCAGGAAAGCGGUACCUGCAGAAUAAGCACCGGCUAACUACGUGCCAGCAGCCGCGGUAAUUC
rnacentral:rRNA from 1 species